UCGCCGCCGACUGCCCUCCAACCACUCCGCCAACACAUGUAUAAACUCUGGAAAGCCCUCCUAGCCUAAUCAUCUGAGAAGACGUCAGCCCAACAGGUGUGAAUGAAACAGCUGCAAAUAGGUGUGAAGGAGCGGCGGUGAGAUGCCGGUCCCAGGCAGAGGUGGGGCUGGCUGGGACAUCACAUGCAGAGGGACUCAGACGGUGCAGGCCAGGGUAUGCCAGAGCACAGGACCACUGCAGCUAUUCGAGAACUGUCCCUACUGUAAAUAGAAAACUGAAAAAUAAAAUAGUUUGUCUCUCCCCUGCUGGAACACAUGGAAUGGGCAAAAGUCCCACUGUUCCACUUAUAAAAGCAGACAGCCUGAAUUUUUGUCCUAGCUGGGACUGACAUUGGCAUUGACUUCAAAAGGAAAGGCCAUGAGUAGAGUACCUCUGCAUUUAUUUAAAUGCCUCUGUUUAGCUUCCCUUUGCUGAUCAUUCCCGGAGUCACAUGGUAGAAAAAAUAUUUUUAGCAAAAACCCCCUUUUUUCCCUGUGAAGCCAAUUUAAUAACUUCCAGCAUUAAUUAGCAAGAUGGAGCUCAAUAAAAGGUGAUGAUAAAAAGUA